AAUUCUCAACCUUUUCAGCUUUUUCUGUUGAUCAGGCUUGGAUGUGGGAGUAUGCGGGCUUCUCAGAAGUCGGCUCUCCUGAAAUGCAUUAGCGGGACCUUUGUUGCCUUGCUUUGGUGUGAUAAUUAUCUACGCCAUUUGUGAAGAGCAGCUUUAUAAAUGGGGUUCAGCUUCUAAAGGGUCUCUUUUGAGACAGCUUCUGACA
rnacentral:misc_RNA from 1 species